UGCCUCGUCCUAUAAUUAUUCGCAUACAAACCUGAAGUGGGCAGCUUCUCAUCUUCCAUUAAUUUUUUUUUUUAAAUAGAUGAUGAAAGAAGAAACAAUUUAGCCGUACCGCUCUGUAAAGCUUUUGAUCUGCAGCUCUCUGAGCCCAGCGCCGUCGUGACAAGCAAGCAUGGGAACAACCUACUGCACGAUAACCAAGAGCGUGCAUUUGACGUUGCAGAAAGAAAUCUGUCCAAAGAAAUUUCUGGUCAACAAAGAAUGCAAGAUCUGGGAAAUCUGACCACAGCGUUGCAGGGAAGAGAAACUAAAAGGAGAAGAAUCCUGGCAAUUACAGUGGAAUAAGACAUAAGCAUCGACAAAAACAAUAAAAAUGGAAGGCCACUGCACCACUUACCUACGGAUCCACGCAGUAGUUUCAGCGCUUCAGACUGAAGGGCAGGUAGCUGCAUCCUUGUGGGCAGAAGAGAGAGGAAAGUCCCUGGAAAUUGUUCUUCAGUGCAACUUCAAGUGAGAAAACCUGCUGCUGAAAGACAGGUUACAGGCUCAAAAUGGUGGCAUCCGAAAACCCUGACUUUUCCCACGUUAGGGAGAAUUGUUGUGCUGCUGCUCUGAG